rnacentral:rRNA from 1 species
GACGAAGGGGGCUAGCGUUGCUCGGAAUCACUGGGCGUAAAGCGCACGUAGGCGGACUCUUAAGUCGGUGGUGAAAUCCUGGAGCUCAACUCCAGAACUGCCUUCGAUACUGGGAGUCUCGAGUUCGGGAGAGGUGAGUGGAACUGCGAGUGUAGAGGUGAAAUUCGUAGAUAUUCGCAAGAACACCAGUGGCGAAGGCGGCUCACUGGUCCGAUACUGACGCUGAGGUGCGAAAGCGUGGGGAGCAAACAGG